UACGAAGGGGGCUAGCGUUGUUCGGAAUUACUGGGCGUAAAGCGCACGUAGGCGGACUAUUAAGUCAGGGGUGAAAUCCCGGGGCUCAACCCCGGAACUGCCUUUGAUACUGCUAGUCUCGAGUCCGGAAGAGGUGAGUGGAAUUCCGAGUGUAGAGGUGAAAUUCGUAGAUAUUCGGAGGAACACCGGUGGCGAAGGCGGCUCACUGGUCCGGUACUGACGCUGAGGUGCGAAAGCGUGGGGAGCAAACAGG
rnacentral:rRNA from 1 species